rnacentral:lncRNA from 1 species
AUUCCUUAUUAGAUUCCUAGCUUCAGUUUUUAUCCACGGCUGGGAAAGGAGCGACCUGCAAGACUGCUUUAAACACCCUUCGGCAUGGCCUGAAGACAAAGGCACGUCCACACUGGAGUGCAGUUGUCUCAAACCUGUUCUGGGUGCUACUGCCAAACGUUCUGGUACUUAGAGUCGGGAUGCACAACUUCAACCACCGACUUAUCAAUGCAGCCGCCUGUGUAUUGCAAUUGGCCGUUACCUUAAGCACUGAGCCACCCGGGUUUAGUUCAGCCAUUUCAAGAAGUAUAUUUAAUGUCGGUAGUUCUGCUUUAUUAAAAUGCAGCAGAGGUACUCUUCCGUCCCUUCCGUUUAUAGUUCUCUGAGAGAGUUCUAUUUUUUGGUUUUGUUUUGUGUUUUCUUUUGCAUUUUGUAUCUUGUAUUUAUCCCUGAACAAGUUUUGUACUUUUUUUUUUUUUUUAAGAAAAGGAAUUCUUUUGUGUAUAUAUAGAUACUUGCAUGAUAUACUGUAGUCAACGUUCGGUUCCUCGAAAGGUCUUGCUGCUGUCAGGUGUUAUGCACUCCAUCCAUCAUAACUGUAUGAAACACAUUUCAUAUGUAAAUAAACGUGGGACAUUUGGCCCUUGUGCUUCUGUGAGAGAAUUAUUGAUGGCGGGUCUCUGACAUCUUUGUGAAGUUUGGGAAGUAAUUCAUUGCAGCGACAAGCUACAGGGUGUUGCAGAAUUCUUCCCACUCAGAAGAAUGGCAUAUUCGUUCUCAUUAGUAAUCAGCUAUUUUGUCACUUUCUUGUUGACUCCAUCAGUACAUUCUUCUAAAUUGAACAUUAAAUAGAUGUAUCUGAUUUCUAAAUUACUGAUCAUGUGUGCAAAUUCAUCAAGCAGA